AAACAGCCACUCAGUAUGAAGCGGCAAUGAAAAGAGCUAACAGAACAUUAGGAAACAUUAGGAAAGGGAUAGAUAAUAAGACAGUAAAGAUCAUAAUGCCACUAUAUAAAUCCCUGGUACACCCACAUCUUGAAUACUGCUUGCAGUUCUGGUUUCCCCAUCUCAAAAA